UCGCGGACGACAGUGUCGCCCGCGCCAGGCAAGUCCAUGGAGACAGAUCACGCCGUGACAGGCCAGAGGCGGCUCGAGGGAUCCAUAAUUUAUGAUGUUGUUCUUACCAGUCCGGUUUGGGAUUUCACAAGCGUUGCCCGUUCCCCUCCCAUUUGUUGCUCCCGCCCGUCCUUUUGGAGAAAACUCCUUUUCCCCUACUCAAGACAGUAACAGUUGCCGGAUUGAAUUAAUGUGAUAAGAGAGGGAGAAAAAAAAGAGCAGAGAGCAACUGUUGCAAUUGGUCGCAAGGCUGGAGCCGGUGAAGACACGAAUAAAGCAAAGGUUGGACCUG